CACCCUAUCAGAGGGCUCUACCUAAAGGCCUGGGACACAAGCACAGCUGACAGUGAGGGCUGAAGUACAAGGUGCUGGGACCAGUUGUCGGCAAAGGGAGUGUGAUUCACUGAGUUAAUUACAUCAGGAUGGAGAAGAGAAGCAAAAAGCCCAAGCCAGGUAACUGGAACUACCUAUGAA
rnacentral:lncRNA from 1 species